UAAGAUACUAGUAGAGCCGAUAAUACACUGCUUUGUCAGGGCAGAACCGUGGGUUAAACCCCCACGUAUCUUAU
rnacentral:tRNA from 1 species